AGCGAACGCUGGCGGCAGGCCUAACACAUGCAAGUCGAACGGACCUUUCGGGGUUAGUGGCGGACGGGUGAGUAACACGUGGGAACGUGCCUUUAGGUUCGGAAUAGCUCCUGGAAACGGGUGGUAAUGCCGAAUGUGCCCUUAGGGGGAAAGAUUUAUCGCCUUUAGAGCGGCCCGCGUCUGAUUAGCUAGUUGGUGAGGUAAUGGCUCACCAAGGCUACGAUCAGUAGCUGGUCUAAGAGGAUGACCAGCCUCAUUGGGACUGAGACACGGCCCAAACUCCUACGGGAGGCAGCAGUGGGGAAUCUUGCGCAAUGGGCGAAAGCCUGACGCAGCCAUGCCGCGUGGAUGAUGAAGGUCUUAGGAUUGUAAAAUCCUUUCACCGGUGAAGAUAAUGACUGUAGCCGGAGAAGAAGCCCCGGCUAACUUCGUGCCAGCAGCCGCAGUAA
rnacentral:rRNA from 1 species